UGAGGAAUCUUCCACAAUGGGCGCAAGCCUGAUGGAGCGACACCGCGUGAAGGAUGAAGACCUAACGGUUGUAAACUUCUUUUCUGAGGGAGCAUAAUGAGAGUACCUCAGGAAUAAGGGACGGCUAAAUACGUGCCAGCAGCCGCGGUAAUACGUAUGUCUCAAGCGUUAUCCGGAAUUACUGGGUGUAAAGAGUUCGUAGGUUGUUAAUUAAGUUAGGUAUGAAAGACCGGAGCUCAACUCCGUGUUUGUGCUUAAAACUGGUUAACUAGAAUUAGGGAGAGGUAAGCGGAAUUUUAAGUGUAGGGGUGCAAUCCGUAGAUACUUAGAAGAACACCAAAAGCGAAGGCAGCUUACUGGAACUAUAUUGACGCUGAGGAACGAAAGCGUGGGGAGCGAA
rnacentral:rRNA from 1 species